AAUGAACGCUGGCGGCGCGCCUAAUACAUGCAAGUCGAGCGAGAAGACGUAGCAAUACGUUUGUAAAGCGGCGAACGGGUGAGGAAUACAUGGGUAACCUACCCUAGAGUGGGGAAUAACUAGCCGAAAGGCUAGCUAAUACCGCGUACGCUCCUUGGACUUCGGUUCAGGGAGGAAAGCGAUGCCGAGGGUAUCGCGCUCUUGGAUGGGCUCAUGUCCUAUCAGCUUGNGGUGAGGUAACGGCUCACCAAGGCUUCGACGGGUAGCUGGUCUGAGAGGACGAUCAGCCACACUGGCACUGCGACACGGGCCAGACUCCUACGGGAGGCAGCAGUAAGGAAUAUUGCGCAAUGGGCGAAAGCCUGACGCAGCGACGCCGCGUGGGGGA
rnacentral:rRNA from 1 species